rnacentral:rRNA from 1 species
CGGGUGAAAAGCCCGCUCGCCGGAAGACCAAGGGUUCCUGUCCAACGUUAAUCGGGGCAGGGUGAGUCGACCCCUAAGGCGAGGCCGAAAGGCGUAGUCGAUGGGAAACAGGUUAAUAUUCCUGUACUUGGUGUUACUGCGAAGGGGGGACGGAGAAGGCUAUGUUGGCCGGGCGACGGUUGUCCCGGUUUAAGCGUGUAGGCUGGUUUUCCAGGCAAAUCCGGAAAAUCAAGGCUGAGGCGUGAUGACGAGGCACUACGGUGCUGAAGCAACAAAUGCCCUGCUUCCAGGAAAAGCCUCUAAGCAUCAGGUAACAUCAAAUCGUACCCCAAACCGACACAGGUGGUCAGGUAGAGAAUACCAAGGCGCUUGAGAGAACUCGGGUGAAGGAACUAGGCAAAAUGGUGCCGUAACU